GCUUAACACAUGCAAGUCGAACGAUGAAGCCCUUCGGGGUGGAUUAGUGGCGAACGGGUGAGUAACACGUGGGCAAUCUGCCCUUCACUCUGGGACAAGCCCUGGAAACGGGGUCUAAUACCGGAUAACACUCUGUCCCGCAUGGGACGGGGUUAAAAGCUCCGGCGGUGAAGGAUGAGCCCGCGGCCUAUCAGCUUGUUGGUGGGGUAAUGGCCUACCAAGGCGACGACGGGUAGCCGGCCUGAGAGGGCGACCGGCCACACUGGGACUGAGACACGGCCCAGACUCCUACGGGAGGCAGCAGUGGGGAAUAUUUCACAAUGGGCGAAAGCCUGAUGCAGCGACGCCGCGUGAGGGAUGACGGCCCUCGGGUUGUAAACCUCUUUCAGCAGGGAAGAAGCGAAAGUGACGGUACCUGCAGAAGAAGCGCCGGCUAACUACGUGCCAGCAGCCGCGGUAAUAC
rnacentral:rRNA from 1 species